AGUCUGCAACUCGACUACAUGAAGCUGGAAUCGCUAGUAAUCGCGAAUCAGAAUGUCGCGGUGAAUACGUUCCCGGGUCUUGUACACACCGCCCGUCACACCAUGGGAGUCAGUAACGCCCGAAGCCGGUGACCUAACCGAAAGGGAGGAGCCGUCGAAGGUGGGACCGAUAACUGGGGUGAAGUCGUAACAAGGUACC
rnacentral:rRNA from 1 species